UGGAAAACUCGGGAUCCCGUCCGCUCUCCCAUAGAUAAGCCACUAAUCGCCUGACUAGUAGUUGGGUCGGUGACGACCAGCGAAUCCCAGGUGCUGUAUGUU
rnacentral:rRNA from 2 species